AUAGAUUGACGUUAUCUCAGAUACAGAAGUCAAUUCCCUUUAAAAUUCUAAAAAAACAAUUAGUAAAAUGUAAUCUUAUAAAUAUAGUCUCAGUAAAAGAGGUAAAAUACACUCUCUGUCUCAAUUAUAGAGGUAAAUGUGACUAUAAAAUCACAACAACGAAUCCCAGUUAUAGAGGUUCGUUUUUUCUCAGUAACAGAGGUAAUUCAGUGCUAAAGUGUCGGGACCGCACCAUGAGUCCCAGCUAUAGAGGUUUCUCACUUAUCCAGGUCCCACUUAACCAGGUUUCACUGUAAAUUAACAGUGGUUCUUAACCUAGGGGUAAUUACCCCCGUGGGGGUAAAACUGGUAUUUUACGGGGGUAAUAAGCUAGCCUAAUAUAACAAUACAACAAACGUACACGUUUUAUUUUUUAUUACCAUUGGGAGGAGGGGUAAAAUCAGGUUCCCUAGUUAGUCAUAGGGGUGACCGGACUGAAAAGGUUAAGAACCACUGCUAUAGAA